rnacentral:tRNA from 1 species
AGGGAUAUGGCUCAGUGGUUAAAGCACUUGCCCUGUAAGCAAGAAGACUAGGUUGGUUCCCAGAAUCCAUA